CCGAGCCAGAACCAGCCGUUCUCGUCGACUUGGUCGUCGUCUCGUGCAUAUAGUGGCCUCAGCUCUCGAGCGAAUACGGCACUCAUACACUUGCACACACACACACACGCGCGCUCACACGGAGAGCCUACGGCUGCCGCCAUUUCGUGCUUCUUUCUCGCGGUCGCUGGCUUGUGUGUGCUGCGCUGUUGCGCUCGUAAAGUGAAAAAUAAACUCUCAUCGAACCCGUGGACCAAAGUGUUUUAACGUUGGUGCGGUCAAAAGUGAUGGAGGAAAAAUAAAAAAAAUAAAAAGUAGAUAGUACUGCUAGUGCAUCAGCAUCAUCGACUGUGUAGUGGAGUACAGAGUUGUACGUCGCAUCGAGUGGGAUAUAUAAAUAUACAUAUAUAUAUAAUAUGUACGUGUAGAUCCCAUCGCUCGUCACCUUGUCUGUGAUCUGGGCACCUACACCAGCGAAAGGAGGCGCUAAACGAUACAGCGACACACCGAAGAAGUGACGAGGAAAAAAAUUUAAAAAAAAGAAUAAUACAGAGAGCAAGAGAGAGAGACGUAUACGCUAAAGAAAACAGUGUACAAUAUAACGUAGUAUAUAUAUAUAUAUGUGUGUGUGUGAAGGGGAGCUCGGCGAUGACAAAGCCGGGACUCGUGCUAGCGUCGUCUACCGCGGCGGGAUGGCGAUGAUGAGGUCCCCAGCUGCGGAAAACGCAAAUCUCGCGAUUUGCUUGCAGAGCUGAAAUCAAGAGGACGGCCCCGCCCGAUUGGGAGUGUGAAAAAUAAACCAGCGGAGCAGCCAAGUCGAAGAUAAUAACAAGAAGUACAGUGUACGAAAGUGUACAGUGCGCGAUUUGUGUGUAAAUAAUAAUAGUAAAAAAAAAAAAAAAAAA